rnacentral:rRNA from 1 species
GAUGAACGCUGGCGGCGUGCCUAAUACAUGCAAGUCGAGCGAACGGACGAGAAGCUUGCUUCUCUGAUGUUAGCGGCGGACGGGUGAGUAACACGUGGAUAACCUACCUAUAAGACUGGGAUAACUUCGGGAAACCGGAGCUAAUACCGGAUAAUAUUUUGAACCGCAUGGUUCAAAAGUGAAAGACGGUCUUGCUGUCACUUAUAGAUGGAUCCGCGCUGCAUUAGCUAGUUGGUAAGGUAACGGCUUACCAAGGCAACGAUGCAUAGCCGACCUGAGAGGGUGAUCGGCCACACUGGAACAGAGACACGGUCCAGACUCCUACGGGAGGCAGCAGUAGGGAAUAUUCCGCAAUGGGCGAAAGCAGGACGGAGCAACGCCGCGUGAGUGAUGAAGGUCUUCGGAUCGUAAAACUCUGUUAUUAGGGAAGAACAUAUGUGUAAGUAACUGUGCACAUCUUGACGGUACCUAAUCAGAAAGCCACGGCUAACUACGUG